CAAAAUUUAACACCUUCAGCGGGGAAGGAGAUCCCGUUGCUCACUUAAAGGACAAUUGCAGCAGGUUAAUUGGAAUAGGACAUGAUAAAGCCAUAUGAAUGAGAUUAUUCAUUCAAAGUUUAUCAGGAUUGGCACUCGCUUGGUAUACCAAGCAAGAGUUAAACAAAUAGCGCACAUAGGAAAAUAUAACUCAUGACUUUGUAAGGCAAUAUAAGUUUAACAUUGGAGGUGAUUUGCAUAUGACCGGUCUGCUCAAAGUGAAGAAGAUGCCGCAUGAAUCCUUUCAAAAAUAUGCCAUGCGAUGGAGGUUAGAAGCUUCAAAAAUACAUCCUCCACUUCCUGAGGAUGAAUUGAUCUCAACCUUCAUCCAAAUUCAAGAAGGCCUUAUUGCUCACUUAAAGGACUACUGCAAUAGGUUAAUUGGAAUUGGACAUGAUGAAGCCAUACGAAUGAGUUUAGUCAUUUAAAGUUUAUCAGGAUUGGAACUAGCUUGGUAUACCAAGAAAGAUUUUAACAAAUGGUGCACAUGGGAAGAUAUGGCUCGUGACUUUGUAAGGCAAUAUGAGUUUAACAUUAGAGGCGAUUUACACAUGACCGAUUUGCUCAAAGUGAAGAAGAUGUCGCAUGAAUCCUUUCAAGACUAUGCCAUGCGAUAGAGGUUAGAAGCUUCAAAAAUACAUCCUCCACUUUCUGAGGAUGAAUUGAUCUCAACCUUCAUCCAAAUUCAUGAAGGCCUAUAUUUUGAUAAGUUCUUUGGAA
rnacentral:lncRNA from 1 species